rnacentral:rRNA from 1 species
AUGCAAGUCGAACGGUGAACACGGAGCUUGCUCUGUGGGAUCAGUGGCGAACGGGUGAGUAACACGUGAGCAACCUACCCCUGACUCUGGGAUAAGCGCUGGAAACGGCGUCUAAUACUGGAUACGAGUGGCGACCGCAUGGUCAGCUACUGGAAAGAUUUAUUGGUUGGGGAUGGGCUCGCGGCCUAUCAGCUUGUUGGUGAGGUAAUGGCUCACCAAGGCGUCGACGGGUAGCCGGCCUGAGAGGGUGACCGGCCACACUGGGACUGAGACACGGCCCAGACUCCUACGGGAGGCAGCAGUGGGGAAUAUUGCACAAUGGGCGCAAGCCUGAUGCAGCAACGCCGCGUGAGGGAUGACGGCCUUCGGGUUGUAAACCUCUUUUAGCAGGGAAGAAGCGAAAGUGACGGUACCUGCAGAAAAAGCGCCGGCUAACUACGUGCCAGCAGCCGCGGUAAUACGUAGGGCGCAAGCGUUAUCCGGAAUUAUUGGGCGUAAAGAGCUCGUAGGCGGUUUGUCGCGUCUGCUGUGAAAUCCGGAGGCUCAACCUCCGGCCUGCAGUGGGUACGGGCAGACUAGAGUGCGGUAGGGGAGAUUGGAAUUCCUGGUGUAGCGGUGGAAUGCGCAGAUAUCAGGAGGAACACCGAUGGCGAAGGCAGAUCUCUGGGCCGUAACUGACGCUGAGGAGCGAAAGG